rnacentral:lncRNA from 1 species
UGGUUUUCAUUUCGUUUUGUUUUUAUUCUGAUAUAUGCAUAAUCAUAAGCUUUGUGUUAAAUAUAUGGCGCUUAGGAAUUUAUGGUUUGUUGGUCCUGUGGAAGUUUUGAGUGCCGGUGUCUGCUAUGUGUUUGCUAGGGAGUAAGAACUGGCCCGUGUUUGGAUUGAAAGUAUGGACUUUGGAAAGUAUGCACUACUGAAGUUGUUGAGGUUAAUAGGAUUGUGGAAUUUGAUUUUUUAAUUUGGCACUUGUGAGGAGGAGAAGAGGAAGUUACAGAAUAGGGAAAACUAGAGAAGUUACCUGUACUUUUGUACCUGUUUCUUCGAUGGUUUUUUUCUCUGUGCUGUUUGUGAGAGUUAUUUCAUAAUGUAUAAUUAGGUUUAAUACAUGUGCUGCGACCAUGAUCAUGGUUUGUUGUACAGUUUUCAGUGUCUUAUAUUUGGUGUAGUACUUUUAAUAUUUGGAGAUGGGUGUGUGAUGCCUGUUUUAACAGAUUUAUUUUUUCUCUUUAUCUGUGGUCUUUUCUGCACUAAAAAAUGAAAGUUUUAUUUGUUUUUGACUGUGAUACUAUCUUGAAAGUAUGGACUUUGGAAAGUAUGCACUACUGAAGUUGUUGAGGUUAAUAGGAUUGUGGAAUUUGAUUUUUUAAUUUGGCACUUGUGAGGAGGAGAAGAGGAAGUUACAGAAUAGGGAAAACUAGAGAAGUUACCUGUACUUUUGUACCUGUUUCUUCGAUGGUUUUUUUCUCUGUGCUGUUUGUGAGAGUUAUUUC